rnacentral:rRNA from 1 species
CGCGGCCUAUCAGCUUGUUGGUGGGGUGAUGGCCUACCAAGGCGACGACGGGUAGCCGGCCUGAGAGGGUGAUCGGCCACAUUGGGACUGAGAUACGGCCCAGACUCCUACGGGAGGCAGCAGUGGGGAAUAUUGCACAAUGGGCGGAAGCCUGAUGCAGCGACGCCGCGUGAGGGAUGACGGCCUUCGGGUUGUAAACCUCUUUCAGCAGGGACGAAGCGUAAGUGACGGUACCUGCAGAAGAAGCACCGGCUAACUACGUGCCAGCAGCCGCGGUAAUACGUAGGGUGCGAGCGUUGUCCGGAAUUACUGGGCGUAAAGAGCUCGUAGGCGGUUUGUCACGUCGUCUGUGAAAUCCUAGGGCUUAACCCUGGACGUGCAGGCGAUACGGGCUGACUUGAGUACUACAGGGGAGACUGGAAUUUCUGGUGUAGCGGUGGAAUGCACAGAUAUCAGGAAGAACACCGAUGGCGAAGGCAGGUCUCUGGGUAGUAACUGACGCUGAGGAGCGAAAGCAUGGGUAGCGAACAGGAUUAGAUACCCUGGUAGUCCAUGCCGUAAACGGUGGGCGCUAGGUGUGGGGUUCCUUCCACGGGCUCCGCGCCGUAGCUAACGCAUUAAGCGCCCCGCCUGGGGAGUACGG